GAUGAACGCUGGCGGCGUGCCUAAUACAUGCAAGUCGAGCGAACGGACGAGAAGCUUGCUUCUCUGAUGUUAGCGGCGGACGGGUGAGUAGCACGUGGAUAACCUACCUAUAAGACUGGGAUAACUUCGGGAAACCGGAGCUAAUACCGGAUAAUAUUUUGAACCGCAUGGUUCAAAAGUGAAAGACGGUCUUGCUGUCACUUAUAGAUGGAUCCGCGCUACAUUAGCUAGUUGGUAAGGUAACGGCUUACCAAGGCAACGAUGCAUAGCCGACCUGAGAGGGUGAUCGGCCACACUGGAACUGAGACACGGUCCAGACUCCUACGGGAGGCAGCAGUAGGGAAUCUUCCGCAAUGGGCGAAAGCCUGACGGAGCAACGCCGCGUGAGUGAUGAAGGUCUUCGGAUCGUAAAACUCUGUUAUUAGGGAAGAACAUAUGUGUAAGUAACUGUGCACAUCUUGACGGUACCUAAUCAGAAAGCCACGGCUAACUACGUG
rnacentral:rRNA from 1 species